UGUGCGUACGAAUCGAAGUGGUACGAACAAGUGCUGGAUGUACAAAAAACUGUACUUCGCGUUUUAGUGCCGCAGGUGCCUGUUGCCAUCAGCGUGAAGUGUGUCAUCCCUAUACUUUCUUUGGAAUUUUACUGCUCGUUCAUUUCAAACGUAGUCUCGUUGUUUACUCUCCUGCGAAUGGUGUUCGGCGAUGACGCCGAUUUACUGUCGUCCAAACCAACCAAUAGUACAUGUUGUGUUAAUUAAUUACUCGUAGCUUCGAAUACACGUGGCACAGAAAUAUAUUUGAAAAUUUGUAGCCUGGAA